rnacentral:tRNA from 1 species
GCCUCCUUAGUUAAAUGGAUAUAACAGACCCCUCCUAAGGGUCAGUUGUGAGUUCGAUUCUCGCAGGGGGUACCA